rnacentral:rRNA from 1 species
AUGAUUAUCCUGGUUCGUUGCAACCUUAUAUGUAACACCAUGAAACGUAAUGAACAGAAUUGUGAAAUUUUUGUUGCUUCUGAAUUUCGAAGGGAAUAUGAUGGUGCCUGUCUUCAGAUGAGGAUGUCAUACUGUCCGGCUGCACACCUUUUCCUUUUUCUUGUGCAGUGGACAGACUGCAACCUUGCUGGUGCUCUUGGGCUGUUGAGAAUUCUCAUUUACAAGGUUUAUGCUGAUGGGACGACCACCAUGUCCACUCAUGAAAGGAAAGCGAGCAUUAGGGAAUUCUAUGCUGUUAUUUACCCUUCUCUGGCGCAAUUACAUGAAGGAAUUAAUGAGGUGGAGGACAGGAAACAAAAAGCUAUUUGUAUAGAGAGGUAUAGAAGACGAGAGGAGGAUCACAAAAGGGUGAUCUCAGAGAUUGAUGAUAAUAUAGAGGAAGAGUGUGGCAUAUGUAUGGAAAUAAACAACAAAGUUGUCCUUCCAACUUGUAGCCAUGCUAUGUGCAUUAAAUGCUACCGUGACUGGAGAUCAAGAUCCCAGUCCUGUCCAUUCUGCCGCGACAGCCUCAAGAGGGUCAACUCUGCUGACCUCUGGAUAUACACGGAUAACAGGGACAUAGUCGACAUGGCGACGGUCAGAAGAGAGAACCUGAGGCGCCUCUUCAUGUACAUAGAUAAGUUGCCCACGGUGAUCCCCGAAUCUGUUUUCGAGGUAUACGAUUCCCACGUAAAGUGA